UAUCGGAAUCUGCACAAGGGCUCUUAGAAUUUCGGCUGUAACCGGCAACACUGGCACAGGGAUGUGCCAGUGAGGCGCAAUUGAACACGGAUGUGAAUUUGCGCCGGUUGCCAGCCGAAAUCAAACACAAUAUCGAAAUUCUUAUGUGCCCUUGCAGAUUCCAGUU
rfam:Roseburia sp. CAG:45 genomic scaffold, scf115